GAAAUAAGAAAUAGUUUAAAAAAUUAAAGUUGGCUGACUAAUUUCACACAGGUGCCUGAUACUGCUAGAGAACCUUUGCGACACAGACAAAAUAAUGGCACAACUACAUCACUUAUCCUGCGGAAGGGAUUAUCCUGAGUAUCUAGGUUAACCAUUCUGCUGCUUACUGGUACAACGCUGGUACAUGUUCCCCAUUGGGGAUACAGCCAAAAAGAAAAGGAAAGGAAGGAAGGAACUAUCUUGCUUUUAUUUUUCAUGAUUGUAGAUGCAUUGAUAAGUCGCGUGGCAUGUUCCAGCGUCUGCUUUGUUGACAUUUUCUGGUAGGUAAUCUGUCAGUCUUACGUGGCAAUUCUUUAUCAAGUCUUCAUGUUAACCGAGUUGGUUACAGAUCUCGUACGGUGACAAGAGAUUUUGUACACUGGAUGAAAAGUAAUGCAUGAAAAGAGAAAAAGACUGGGUACUAUGCGUGCUUUAAUUCUUGUUGGAGGCUAUGGAACGAGGUUAAGGCCUUUGACCCUAAGCCGUCCAAAACCUCUUGUCGAAUUUGCCAAUAAGCCGAUGCUUCUUCAUCAAAUAGAAGCCCUGGUAGACGCAAAUGUGACAGAAGUAAUUCUGGCAGUUUCCUACCGAGCUGAGCAAAUGGAAAAAGAAUUGGGAGAAGAGGCAAAAAAAUUGGGUGUUAGUUUAAUAUUUUCUCAUGAAACUGAACCAUUAGGCACUGCAGGACCACUUGCACUUGUUCGAGAAACUUUAUCUUCCGGAGAUGAACCCUUUUUUGUUUUGAAUUCCGAUAUCAUUUGCGAAUUUCCUUUCAAACAGCUUGUUCAAUUUCAUAAGAAUCAUGGAAAAGAAGGCACUAUUAUCGUCACUAAAGUUGAGGAACCAUCUAAAUAUGGCGUCGUGGUUUAUGGCGAUGGCGGACGGAUUGAAAGUUUUAUUGAAAAGCCUCAGGAAUUCGUUUCCAACAAGAUUAAUGCAGGAAUGUAUAUUUUUAACCCAAGCGUACUAACAAGGAUAGAGCUAAGGCCUAUGAGCAUAGAAAAAGAAGUAUUUCCUGAUAUGGCUCAAGAUGGGCAAUUAUACGCUAUGGAAUUAUCUGGGUUUUGGAUGGAUGUAGGGCAACCGAAAGAUUUUCUUACUGGUAUGUGCUUGUACCUGACUUCUUUGCGGCAGAAAUCACCUGAGAAGUUAUAUUCGGGUGUGGGCGUAGUCGGGAACGUUUUAGUAGACCCAACAGCAAAAAUUGGUAAAGGAUGUAGAAUUGGACCAAAUGUUACAGUUGGUCCUGGUGUUACGCUAGCUGAUGGAUGUUGCGUAAAAAAGUGUACUCUUCUAAGAGCAGCUACGGUUAAAGAACAUGCGUGGCUUGAUGGGUGUAUUGUUGGCUGGCGAAGUGUUGUGGGUAGAUGGGUACGGAUGGAAGGCACAACAGUUCUCGGCGAAGAUGUGAUAGUCAAGGAUGAACUUUACAUAAACGGAGGACAAGUUCUCCCGCACAAAAGCAUCGCUGCCUCUGUUCCCGAACCACAAAUCAUCAUGUGAUUAAUCAUAUGAUUAUACAUAAACUUUUUGAUAAAAGAAAACCUAAUUUUCUCAACAAGACAAUAGUGAUAGGCUAUGUGCUACAGUAAUGGCCAUGCACUACUGAACAAUUAAACACAACCAAACUGCGAUUUUAAGACCAUGCAGCGUCACGAUGGUAAUUCAACUCUCCAAUACUUCUGUAAAUUACAUGCCUGUAUACAAUUUUCGUUUAUAUUUGAAUUUUAAUUGAUAUUUUUGUAAAACAUUUUGCACUUAUUACAAUAAUAUGUGUAACAUAAGGCUAUGAUUUUAACUAUCUUUAUAUCAGCAAUUUUCGUCAUCUACUAUAUGUACGUACACGCUAGAAAAAUGUCUCCUGCUAAAAGUGCUAUGACCAUAAAAUAUUCCGUUUUAAGUUACAGGUUGUAUAUACUUUAAAUUUUGUAUAAUCACUUGGGUUGUUCGACGUUUUGCGAGAUAGCUUUAUAAGAAUGCAUGUGGAUAUAUUAACUUUUAAACGUUAUAACGCACCCAAAUUUACAAAAUUUUAUAGGAGACAAGAAAACUGUUUACCUUCGCAAAUAUUAAUUCUCAACUAUUUUCAUGAAUUUUUAAAAUUUAGUGGGUUAUACUUUAAAGUUAGGGUAUCAAUAUGCUUAAGAACGCGAAAGCCCAUUUAUUGUGUUAAACGUUAUAAAUAUUAUAUUUACAUUAUGAGGGUAGUACACAAUUUAUCUAGCUACAAUAUUAAAUAUUGUUGGCAACUAGUAUGCUAGUAGCUGCAAAUAUAGCUAUUCAUUUAUUGCAAAUUCUCUUCGAAUGCAAUUAUUUGACUAAGAAAAUUCUAAACUUGAGCGGGAUAAUAUUCAAGUACAAAGCCGAAUAACACAUAAUGUCCAAAAGUUGUCUUUAAAGCUUCUAACGGGACAGGGGCUGUCUUUUAAACAUCUUACAGAUCAUUUUUGGAUGCAUAUAUAUACUGUCUGAGAAUAAAUGUGCAGUCCACUCAGGUGGGAAUUACAUUGGUGGAAAAAUACAAGUAGAUUACGAAAUGAA